UACGUAGGGUGCGAGCGUUGUCCGGAAUUAUUGGGCGUAAAGAGCUUGUAGGCGGUCUGUCGCGUCUGCUGUGAAAAUCCGGGGCUCAACCCCGGACUUGCAGUGGGUACGGGCAGACUAGAGUGUGGUAGGGGAGACUGGAAUUCCUGGUGUAGCGGUGAAAUGCGCAGAUAUCAGGAGGAACACCGAAGGCGAAGGCAGGUCUCUGGGCCACUACUGACGCUGAGAAGCGAAAGCAUGGGGAGCGAACAGG
rnacentral:rRNA from 1 species